GGCCACAGGGCUGGCCCCUCUUAGCACAAUUUUGAUAGAUUGUGUGUGUGCUUUUCUUUUAAAAAAAAUCUCCCAUUAUAUUGUCUAAACAGAGACUGCUUUUUCUCUAAGAUUGAGGAAAGAAAGAAAGAUGGAGUUGCAAAAGAAAAUAUUUCCAUUUCCAACACAUGUGUAUAUGGAACAGGUGAGGCACUGAAAAUGCGUGCAUCAAAGAGGCAAUACUCCUCUUUCAAAUUGUGUGAUUUUCCAAAAUACGGUACAGGCUUGGGGGAAAAUGCUAGUUCAAUUCCUAGCUCUGUUGCUUACUUAGUGUGAGUUUGGGGUCACAUUCUCAACCACUCAGGCUCAGUUUCCUCGUAUGGACAUUGGAAUAUUAACACACAGAAGAAAGAGAUGAAAUAAGAAUUGGCAUAAGCUCUCCACAAGGCAGGCUGCCUCUUGUAGAGACAGCUCGGGCAGCACGAGGCAGUCUGGAAACAUGCGUAGAAAUCCAUCUUCUACUAUUAAAUGUAUAUGAGCCACUUUAUAAAUCUAAGAAUUUCUAUUUUAUGUCUUAAUAAUAUGAAUACUGGUUCCACAGUAUUAUGCAGACAGUUUGUAUAAGGCACAAUUUAAAUUUCAUACAUGUGACAUUUUAUUUACUGUAAAAAACAGAACAUUUUUAAUGUAUUCCUGUUUUCUCCCUUUAUUCAGCAUGUAGUCAUUUUUUCCCCAGUUACAGGAAGGUCCCACUCUGCCUAAAGCAUUCUGUGAGGCAUUAGCCCAGCUCACCACGUGCACGGCAAACACAUGCAAGGAAAGCCAUUUUUACUGAGCAGAUCUGGUCCUGAGAAAGACAAACCCUUUUGGUUCUGUUUCAAGGCAGUUUAACCACCACGACGUAACAGCUGGAACUCCACUUUAGCCAUCUCUCACACAAGUCUUUCUGAUCGGUUAUGGAUUUUUCUCGUCAACAGCACAAACGCAGAAGGCUGACGACUGCUGGUUUCUGGCUGUCUGCUCACAAAGGCAGUUUGAUGGUGCGCUGAGCACUGGUAGAUUCCUUGUAUAUCUCCACAGCACACAUCGUAUCAGGAGAUACAUUCAGCCUGCUCUGUGCCCCCACUGCAAAAAAUUAAACUGAAUAAUCGAACAAACCACACCUUAAAUAAGAAAGAGAUUCUUUUCUAAGAUUGACAAAUUAUACUGAAAAUGUAUCAACUUUUCUCAACAAAAACUUUUUGGAAGGAUCAUUUCAAAUAUUUGUAUCCUCUUUGUUCUAGAUAUAUGUGGGGAAUUUUAACAUUGUGUUUCAGAGACUAUUGUGAU